CUCACUAGCUAUUGUUUUGCUUUUAGACUUCCUGGUGGCAGGAUUUGCUCUUCCCAGGCUCGAUGCUUUGCGUGUGACCUGCUGCAAACUUACCAGAGCAGAAGGAGAUUAUGGGAUCCGCUGGUGGUAUCCUGCCUCUGUCAACUCUGAGAAGAUGGGAUGGGUGAGACUGAUGAAUCCGGUUCAAUAGUCUGACUGGUGGAGGAGAGAUGGUGACUUAAGCCUUGAAAGAAGAGCCUCUUGUUCUGAAACAUCUGUCUAUACGCAAGAAGCAUGAAUAUCUAUAAACAUGUUUUGGAUGCUUGAAAGAAUCCCUUAGAGGUUGGAUGGCUCCUUAAGAUGAGCAUCUCUUGAAGGUUGCGGAGAGUCUGCAGUGACUUAAGAUCAACAAAUGUGUUUUGUCAGAUUUAGAUGUUUGAAAGAAUGCCUUAGAGGUUGGACGGCUCCUUAAGAUGAACAUCUCUUGAAGGUUGCGGAGAGUCUGCAGCGACUGACGGUUCGAGGAUUCUGGAUGCCUUCCCAUGGUUGGCCUGAACUGCAAGGUGCUGGCCAGAACAGCUGAGAUUCUGAAGGUUUUGAAGUAGAAAUAACCGGAGCUUUUUAUUGUUGCACAAAUAAAAACAUGAUUUGCAUUGU